UUUAGGCGUUUGGAAACAUGGCAUACGCCUACGCCUUCUCCAUCGUCCAGCACGAGAUCCAAGCAAUUCCAGAUAUCUCGAUUUGCUUAAUUAAUGACUUGUCAUGUCUUUGUUAAUUUGCUUAUUGUUGUACCCGGAUGGCGAUGUGUUUGUUGAUUUGUUCCUUACAUACAUAAUUACUACUGCAGGACACCUUGAAGGCGGUGGCGCCGUCAGAGGCGAAGGUGAUGAAGAAGGCGACGACGGUGAGCGUGGCGGUGACUACGGUGAUCUACCUGUUGUGUGGAUGCAUGGGGUACAUGGCGUUCGUCAACACGACGUCGGACAACAUCCUCACGACUUUGGCUUCUAUGAGCUCUUCUAGCUGGUGGACAUGGCCAACGCUAUGGCCUUCCACCUGGUCGGCACCUACGAGGAUUCGACUUUGGCUCAUGGUGAAGUUGUGCGGCUCCAUUCAGUUUGCCAACCUAGUCGGCUUCAGCUUCGCCAUCGGCAUUAUCAUCGCCGCCUCCGUCAGUAUGUUAGCGAUCAAAGAGGCGGGAUGCUUCCACAAGGAAGGGUACAUGGGCCAUUGCAGAAGUUCUUACACGAGACUGUACAUUGCCAUCUACGGCAUCGUUUAGAUCUUCUCGCAGAUCCCAGACCUGGAUGGUAUGUGAUGGUUGUUAACCCUCGCCGCCGUCAUGUCCUUCACCUAUACCCAGUGGCGGAGCUUCAUGAGGGGCAGGGGGCCAUGCCCCCCCCCCCCAUACUCUAGGAAUUUUUUUAAGUGUAUCUUCAUCAAGCUCCGCCACUGCCUAUACCACCAUCAGAAUCUCCCUCGGUGUUGCGCAAACCAAAGUGAAGGGGGGACUGCAGGGCAGCCUCAUCGGCGGCAUCAUCGGCAAUAUCGUGGUGAUGCAGUCUUUAGGCGUUUGGAAACAUGGCAUACGCCUACACCUUCUCCAUCG